ensembl:misc_RNA Metazoa_SRP Metazoan signal recognition particle RNA
GCCGGGUGCAGUGGCGCGCGCCUGUAAUCCAAGCUGCUGGGAGGCUGAGGCUGGCGGAUCGCUUGAGUUCAGGGGUUCUGGGCUGCAGUGGACUAUGUCGAUCGGGUGUCCGCGCUAAGUUCGGUAUCGAUAUGGUGCUCCUGGGGGAGCUCGGGACCACCAGGUCGUCUAAGGAGGGGUGAACCGGCCCAGGUCGGAGACGGAGCAGGUCAAAGCCCCCGUGCCGAUCAGUAGUGGGGUCGCGCCUGUGAAUAGACACUGCAGUGCAGCCUGAGCGAUACAGCGAGACUCAGACUUUU